UGCACUCUUAUUUUUCAUUAUGUACAUGCCUGCAAUUCGCAGCUCGCUGUUUUUGUUGUUGUAUGGUAUUGUUGUUUUGCCUUCAUUUGUUUUGUCUGGUCCUUUGUAGUUUGAAUGUUGUCACAUGAUCCAAAUAGGACAAGGUUGUAAUUUUUUCUUGAUAUUGUUACUCUGCUUAGCUAUAUAUUUUUUCAUUAUUUUGUUUUUUUUUUUACUAGCUGCAAGAUCACCACCCCAUUGGGAAGAAACUAAAUCACGACCCUCAAAUGGUAGUCUUCCCAUGCAGAUACAGGGAUGUCACACAGAUCCAAAUGGAAACAUCGAACACUGUAAAACCCACUGUGCAGACAGGACCAAUGGUGACAAUAUAAGACCAUGCCGAGCUUCAUGGACGGUUCAAACUCAUCCUGCCCAGGAACGGCUGGUAUGUUUUAUGUCUGAGACAAAUGUUGUGCUCAGUGGAAAUCUGGAUAGGCUUAUUAUUCCUUAUAUUAGUUAACAAUUGGACAUAAUUGAUUAUUUACUCUUUGUUUAUUUAACCAAUCAACAUUCUCAUUAGCUUAUGCAAAUCUUGAAUAUAAAGAGGCCAGAAAUGGUGUUGAUUGUCUAAAAAAAGAAAGUUUGAUUGACACGUGCUGACUUUUGGAACGUUGGCCUGAACAAUGAAAUGGAAUCAACUGUGAAUUUUGAGGAUUUAGUUUCUCUAAAGAACAUAAUGUCACUUGUACAAUUAAGUAAAAUGUAACUUUUUGUUUUUGUUUUUUUGCAGAUAUGAAAUGCAUAUUUAUAACUUGUCUAACAAGUAGCUCAUUCAAAGGUAUAAAAAAGUAUUUUUUUGGCGUGUGUAGGGUAUUAUUUUAACUAUGUAGCCUACAGAAUGCUUGUAUGGGCUCAUGUAGGUGUCUGCGUACGUUUGUAUUUAUAUAACAUAUGUCCGUGUGUAUAGAUUAUGUAUUUUUCAGGGAAGGACCAUAUUUGUGGCUGACCCCUAUGUUGUUGCAACAUGGUGAAAGCCUACAGGAUGUGACCCACACAUGCAUCUGCCUGUAAGGCUGAUUAGUAACAACUACAACUUGGAGCAUUGGUUCAUUUUCAAAGAACAGUCAAAUCAUAACAAAUUAAAUGAUCCAAAUUCCAAUUAUUUGUGGGAAGAAAAACAGAUCCAAUCUUGAGAUCAGAGAACUAUUGUUAUCUCUAAUGAAAUUCAGUAACCAUUCAUAUUGGCAUGGCGUUUCCAUGAUGAUCCAGAAUAGCCUUGUUUGGUUUUGAAGGUAUGUUCCAGUCGAUCCUUUUAUUUUGCCCCUUCAAUUAAAGCAGAAUUGCACUCCAGAUGAUUCAUCCAAUCAUUUGAAGCAAAAUUCUAAAAUGCCACUCUAAAAUUGCGAAUGUUUUGUUUCAAGGGCAUUGGCCCGGUCUCAACAUUGGUAGGGACGAAUAUAAUGCAAAUAAGGUUGCUCAAAAGUUGGUGGGGACAACUUUAGCAUCCUGAAAAGUUGGUCGUGUUAUGUCCCUACCGUCCCUAUGCAAACCUACGCCCUUGUUUUGUUUGCAUGAAUCAUUUAAACCUGACUGGUUGGUGUUCUUAUGCAUGGAAACACGUUUGUAAUUGUUUAACUACUGUAUUUAAUAUAAACCUAUAUUUUCAAUUGCAGAAAACGUUGACAGUCAAUCAACAGGGGGACAUGGAAAGAGAGGAUUGGAAGUGAAAUAGAGGGUUUUUCGGGACAGCCAUAGGGGAAGGACUGUGGCAUCUUCAUGUUGGUAGACUGAUAUGCCAACUCUGAGGAAGUGGUGGUGUAUAUUGCUAGUGGACAAUUUCAAACUUGGGUGCAUGGUGAGCCACAGGAAAGAGUUUGCCCAUUGGACAGAUAAGGCAAAAGCAUUACUGCAGGGUGAAGUGCCACCAGUCUAUCAGCUACAGAAGUGAAAUUUGAAUAUAAUUGCUGAGGAAGAGGUGCAACCACAGCUCCUUCAAGUUAGUGGUGGCCCACUCCAAAAAGAUAUGGCGGGAAAAAAUGUUUUGGUAAAAGGAUUGUGCAAGACAGCACAAAAGCCUCGGACAGGGCGGGGGGGGAUCAAUGCAGUAGGAGUUCCCAAGCAUCCUGCAGAUGGAAGAGGAUGAGCACGAACUACAAUGUCUUGGAGCCAUUUAAGUUCUGUUUCAACCAUCUGGAAGAUGGAUUUACCUUUUUUGAGGAGAUUGUUGACCAAAGAAAA